rnacentral:lncRNA from 1 species
AGAAAGUACAGUUCUCCCUCUUUAUCUGCACAUUUGCUUUUUGAGGUCUCUGUUACCAUAGGUAGACUGUAGUCCAAAAAUGUUCCUGUGGGAAAGGGAAGCGCCCAUGACUGGCACCGCGCCUGGCAGUUGCCACUAGUCCGCUAAACGCUGCGCAGCUGUUAUGGACGGAACCCCUGGUGCAAGCAGAGAGGGCCUUAACUCUGCGGCCAGAGAUUAUUUUUAAACCUAGGCUGAACUGUGUCACCGUCUCCAAGAACGAGAGCUCAGGCGUGCCUAGGGGAGCUGUCCUCCCUUGUCCCCGUGGGGGGGCCCUCCUAGCCCUAGUAAGCCGCUCCUACCGUGCCGCUAGGGGAGCCCUGGGACUCUCUCGCUAGGGCAGGGCCCUGGGGAAGGCAACAACUAGGCUGCUUUGCAGAGCUGAGCCGCCCAAGCAGUCACUUGAACGAGGCGGGAAUUUGUCAGCCGCUUUGGCAGCGCAGGUCCCUUCUGGGGGCAUUGGUGGAGACUAGGCCCGUCCGGCCGCCCUCCCUCCUCCUGCCUGCCUGGCUGCCGCUUCCCUGCACCCAGGACUGCGAGAUAGAGCGCUCCUGCAGCCGGCAGCUCCGAUGGAGCGCAGGCUCCGGGGUGCAAGGCCUCAGCUUGGCCUCGGGCCCAGUCAGCUCAGGCCCAGCUGCAUUGGCCUCGCUGCUGCUGCCCCUGCCGCCCAGGCGCCAGCGCAGGCCACACUCUCCGCCCAGGUGUCACUGGCCUUGGCCUGCUGCUUCUCACCCUCUCCUGCCCCACGCCUCCUGGGAUCUCUGGGCCCCAAGUGGUGGUUUGUCAUGCGAGGGACAAAGGGCUCUAGUCCCAUUCAUUUACUCGUUUAUUUAUUGUUUUGAGACAGGGCCUCCCUAUGUACUUCAGGCCAGUCUUCAACUCAUGGAGCCCAGACUGGUCUCGAACUCUCAGGGAUCCUCCUGCUUCAGCCUCCCCCGUGCUGAGAUUAUAGGCAUUUGGUACCACGCCUGGCCGUAUUUUCAUUUUUCUACUUUGAGGGAGGAAAAAGAUUUUUAGUGUGCAGAGGAAAUAAUGACAUGGCCUUUUAUCAUUGAAAGAACUGACCUUAUGCACUUUGCACUGUUCCAUGAAAUACUCAGCACUAUAAUUUUCCCCUGGAAUCUGAGCAGGCUGGUAUGGAAUUGUGUUGGGGUGUGGAGGGUCCCCCUUAUGAGACACUUAUUGCAAGGGAUGUGCAAGAGUUUCUUCCGAAGUCUUCGAAUGGCGGCAGCGAUGACCGUGAUCAGGAAUCUUCGCAUCAGUGAAGAACUCUGCUCCUGUAUGACCAGAGAGAAUGUUGGGAGGAACGUACAAUUUUCACAGCAACAUGAAGAACCAUUGUUUGUCUCUUUUCUGUUUUUUAAGCUUUACAAAUGUGUGGAAUCAGAAGAAAACAUAAAAAGUGAAUAUAAUGCUCUCUAUAUAAUGUUAUAUCAAUUAUAUAAUUUAGACCUCUAUAUCUAAAUUUUUUUAUUCAUUUCUUUCUUUCUUUCUUUUGCUUUUUUGAGAUAGUGUCUCACUAUAUAAUUCCAGGCUGGCUAUGUUAGUUACUUUUCUCUCAUUGCUGAGACAAAAUACCUGACACCCAAAUGAAAGGGGAAAAGGUUUAUUCACAGUUCAGAGAGAUUUCAGUCCAUAAUCAGCUGGCUAGAAAGCAGGGAUGACAAACAGGUAUUGCAGAGGAGAAACAACAUGGCAUGUAUAAGGUAGCAAAGGCAACAAGGGAAACAGUUCAUGGCAGUGGAAGGCAGCAAAAAGCAACAAAAGAUCUUAACAGUGUCUUUCUGCCCCUUUUAUCUUAUUCAGACUACCUAGGCUGGGUAGCACUCACACCCUUAAUCCUAGUGUCCUCCGGCCUAGCCUCACCAUGAGUCAAUCACACAGUCUAGAUUCAACCACCUCCAAAAUAGCCUGUGACCACAUGAGGCUUUGGGGAGACAUCUAGACACAAACCAUACUGGCCUCCAACCCAAGGUGAUCCUCCUACCUUAGUCUCCCAAGUGCUGAGAUUACAGGUGUCACAUUUGUCAACAUUUGUCUCACAAAAAAAGAAAGAAAGAACAGAAAGAAAGAAAGAAAGAAAGAAAGAAAGAAAGAAAGAAAGAAAGAAAGAAAGAAAAAAUAGCUGCUCAGCCUUCUUAGUAAUCAGAGAAACACAGAGUAUUGCUGAGAUACCUCGAUGUAUCAGAAGAGAGGCCAAAGUCCAUGCCUGAAAUACCUUUUGGGGAUGAGAAUGUGGACCAACUGGAACUCAUAAACUGCUGAUGUUACCACCACUCUGGAAACCACUGUGGCAUUAUCUUUACAGCUGAGCAUGCGCAUACCCCAUAACCUAACAACUCCAUUUCCAGGUACUGUAUUUACUAUGCAGGAAGGCUUGACCAUGUAAAUGGAGGCAAAGUUCAGGAAUAUUCAAAGAAGCAGCUUUCAUAACAGCAGAAAACUGGACCACAGAAUCCUAUGCUGUAGCCAUGGAAUUAUAUUCUGCAGUGGAAAAGGAAGAUGCAAUAGCUACAUUUGUCAAAAUGCCCAUUAUCUUAGUAACAUAAGGCUGAGUGGAAAAAACAAGUCAAAUAAGAUGGUGGACACACAGUAUAAUACACUGUCUCAAAACUUAAAAACAAGUUAGGCUAAACAGUCUGCUAUUUAGGAGUGUCUACACAAUAUGAUACAAAAUAUUUUAAAUUAUUGAAGAAACCACUAAUACAAAAUGCAACAGAGUUUCCCCAAGUUGGCAAAGUCAGAGGUAGGAAGAGGGUUACACAUGUAUAGCUUCUACCAUGCAGAAUACUGCCUGUGCUAUGUUUUUAAGAUGAAUAAGAGCUUUACAACUGUUUGGAUUCUUAUGUUUUGUAGCUUAGAUGUGUAACAGUUUUAUGUACCAUAUAUUACUUCAUUUAAACAUACAAAUGAUGGGCUGGGAGUAUAACUCAAUGGUAGAGCCAGUGCUUAGUAUGCCCAAGGCCCUGGGUUCAAUCCCCAGCACUAGAAAAUAAAUAUUCAUGAAAACAUGAGGUGGCUUUUGCAUGGUGCCUUUGAUAGGAACUCAGUCUGGCUUGGCAUUCCAGUCUUAAACCCACAUGACUAUGAUGUAUUGUUGCCUCAUUAAAGUGCUUGUAAUUUUCAAAAAAACUUUCCAUUUUAUAGGCAUGAAUAUAGAGCCUAUUUCAGUCCUUCUGUUGCUAUAACAAAAUGCUGGGAACUAGGUAAUUUACAAAGAAAAGAGGUUUGUUUUGGCUCGUGGUCCUGGAGGCUGGGAAGUCCACAGCAUGGCGCUAGCAUCUGUCAGCUUCUGGUGAGGGUCUCCUGUGGUUUUGACUCAUGGUGGAAAGGGGAAGGACAAGUGGGUAUAUUCAGAGGAGACAAAACAGGAAGGGUAAUCUUGCUUUUUUCCCCUUUCUUUCUUUUUUUGCAGUACUGAGGAUUAGACCCAGGACCUUCACAGUGAGCUAGAUCCCCAGCUCUUUACUUUUUAUUUUGAGACAGGAUCUCAUUAAGUUGCCUAGGCUGGGCUCAAACUUGUGAUCCUCCUGUCUCAGCCUCCCAGAGUGCUGGGAUUACAGGAAGGGUAACCUUGCUUUCUAACCACCUGUUCUGGUGAUAACUAAUCCAGACCCCUGAGAGUGACAAGUCCUGCUUAUCUAUUCCUGAGAGCUCUGCCCCCUGCACCAACCCCCUGCUCCAGCCCCACCACCCCGACCUGCCAAGCUGAGGCUUUGGAGGGGAUGAGCCAUACUCAAAUUAUAGCAGGCCCUCCACUCAUUUCUUGGCCGUGCCCCUGCCCCUCACUGCUUUGCACUUCCCAAGUGAGCCAGCCCCGGGUGUGGCUCUGAGGGAGGAGGAGGUGAACGAGGGCUGAAGCUGCAGGUGGUGGACCCAGCAGACCUCCCCUGGCUGGCCAGAGCUCCCUGUCCUUGGAGUCACUCCCUGGAACUCCACCAUGGGGAGAGAGCUUUGUUUCUAGAGUCCACUCAGGACCUACCCCACGGGUCCCCCUCGGCCGGCCUUGCCGGUGGCACAGAGCUCUUCUCCUCGCCGGAGCGGAGCGGCAGGGCA